rnacentral:rRNA from 1 species
UACGUAGGGUGUAAGCGUUGUCCGGAAUUAUUGGGCGUAAAGAGCUCGUAGGCGGUCUGUUGCGUCGGCUGUGAAAACCCGGGGCUCAACUCCGGGCCUGCAGCCGAUACGGGCAGACUAGAGUUCGGCAGGGGAGACUGGAAUUCCUGGUGUAGCGGUGAAAUGCGCAGAUAUCAGGAGGAACACCGGUGGCGAAGGCGGGUCUCUGGGCAUUACCUGACGCUGAGGAGCGAAAGUGUGGGGAGCGAACAGG